AUUGUACUUUCAUGGAAUGCAUCGCUUGUUCGUUGAAGGUGGCAUUCCCUGCUGCCCCUUGUCUUUGGUAAUCAGUUGGGACCCCUAAGAAAACAGACAUAUCCAUACUGGAUGGAAAAUAAAAAUUAUCCAGAUCCAGUACUAUACAAUAAGUUUUUAAACAUAACCAAUAUUGUUUAUGGUUUUUAUUCAAUCUAAAAACCGCACGUCGACUUAAUUUUUGCCGCUGAUGGUAUAGUGUGCAGAAGUCGUGGUGGUGGCAAAGCGACAGGUGAAGCUGGGGGCUCA